rnacentral:lncRNA from 1 species
GAAAACAUAUGCUAAAGAACUUCUAUUGACGGUCUUUGUAAUUCCUUGUAAUGACACCUCGAGCCCUUUCCCGAGCUUAUACCCAUGUUUGAUCAUUUCACUAGUGACCAUGAUUGAUGCGCUUGAUAAGAAGGGUUGAGGACAUGGGGUUCCUUCCUUGUACUGGUCGGCGACCAUGAUUUCAAAGGCUUGGCAGAAGAUGUGUUCACUCCCCU